UACGGAGGAUGCAAGCGUUAUCCGGAUUCAUUGGGUUUAAAGGGUGCGCAGGCGGGGAUGUAAGUCAGUGGUGAAAAGCUGCCGCUUAACGGUAGUCUUGCCAAUGAUACUGCAUUUCUUGAGUAUGGUUAAGGUAGGCGGAAUGUGCAGUGUAGCGGUGAAAUGCAUAGAGAUUGCACAGAAGGCCGAUUGCGGAGGCAGCUUACUGAGCCAUAACUGACGCUGAGGCACGAAAGCGUGGGGAUCGAACAGGAUUAGAAACCCCAGUAGUCC
rnacentral:rRNA from 1 species